rnacentral:rRNA from 1 species
AGGGUUUGAUCCUGGCUCAGGAUGAACGCUGACAGAAUGCUUAACACAUGCAAGUCUACUUGAACUUCGGUUUGGGUGGCGGACGGGUGAGUAACGCGUAAAGAACUUGCCUCACAGCUAGGGACAACAUUUGGAAACGAAUGCUAAUACCUGAUAUUAUGAUUUUAGGGCAUCCUAAGAUUAUGAAAGCUAUAUGCACUGCGAGAGAGCUUUGCGUCCCAUUAGCUAGUUGGAAAGGUAACGGCUCACCAAGGCGAUGAUGGGUAGCCGGCCUGAGAGGGUGAACGGCCACAAGGGGACUGAGACACGGCCCUUACUCCUACGGGAGGCAGCAGUGGGGAAUAUUGGACAAUGGACCAAGAGUCUGAUCCAGCAAUUCUGUGUGCACGAUGACGUUUUUCGGAAUGUAAAGUGCUUUCAGUUGGGAAGAAAAAAAUGACGGUACCAACAGAAGAAGUGACGGCUAAAUACGUGCCAGCAGCCGCGGUAAUACGUAUGUCACAAGCGUUAUCCGGAUUUAUUGGGCGUAAAGCGCGUCUAGGUGGUUAUGUAAGUCUGAUGUGAAAAUGCAGGGCUCAACUCUGUAUUGCGUUGGAAACUGUGUAACUAGAGUACUGGAGAGGUAAGCGAAACUACAAGUGUAGAGGUGGAANUCGUAGAUAUUUGUAGGAAUGCCGAUGGGGA